GAUCCUGGCUCAGGAUGAACGCUAGCGAUGUGCCUAACACAUGCAAGUCGAACGAAAAAAUUGAUUUUUAGUGGCGAACGGGUGAGUAAUACAUAAGAAUUUACCUUUAGGAAGAGGAUAACAAUUAGAAAUAAUUAUUAAAACUCUAUAUGCCAUUAACUGAGUCUUUCAGUUAAGAAAUUCAUAUUUGGUGAAAAAAAUUUGCCUAAAGAAAAGCUUAUGUCUGAUUAGCUAGUUGGUAUGAUAAAAGCUUACCAAGGCGAUGAUCAGUAGCUGGUCUGAGAGGAUGGUCAGCCACACUGGAACUGAGAAACGGUCCAGACUCCUACGGGAGGCAGCAGUGAGGAAUUUUCUGCAAUGAGCGAAAGCUUGACAGAGCAAUAUCGCGUGAAGGAUUGAAGGCCUAUUUAUUGGUUGUAAACUUCUUUUUUCAAGGAGGAAGAUCUGACGUUACUUGAAGAAUAAGCAUCGGCUAACUCUGUG
rnacentral:rRNA from 1 species